rnacentral:rRNA from 1 species
AAGUGGCGUACGGGUGAGUAACACGUGGAUCAUCUACCUUUUAGUGAGGAAUAACCAUGGGAAACCGUGGCUAAUACCGCAUAAGCUCGAGAGAGGAAAGUCGCAAGACGCUGAAAGAGGAGUCCGCGGCCGAUUAGCUAGUUGGCAGGGUAAAAGCCUACCAAGGCGAGGAUCGGUAGCCGGCCUGAGAGGGCACACGGCCACACUGGCACUGAAACACGGGCCAGACUCCUACGGGAGGCAGCAGUGGGGAAUCUUGCACAAUGGGGGAAACCCUGAUGCAGCGACGCCGCGUGAGCGAUGAAGCCCUUCGGGGUGUAAAGCUCUUUCGUCAGGGAAGAUAGUGACGGUACCUGGAGAAGCAGCUGCGGCUAACUACGUGCCAGCAGCCGCGGUAAUACGUAGGCAGCGAGCGUUGUUCGGAGUUACUGGGCGUAAAGGGUGUGUAGGCGGUUGUUUAAGUUUGGUGUGAAAUCUCCCGGCUCAACUGGGAGGGUGCGCCGAAUACUGAAUGACUUCGAGUGCGGGAGAGGAAAGUGGAAUUCCUGGUGUAGCGGUGAAAUGCGUAGAUAUCAGGAGGAACACCGGUGGUGUAGACGGCUUUCUGGACCGUAAC